rnacentral:rRNA from 1 species
GUGCCAGCCCGCCGCGGUAAUACGGAGGAUGCGAGCGUUAUCCGGAUUUAUUGGGUUUAAAGGGUGCGUAGGCGGAUUGAUAAGUCAGUGGUGAAAUUCUGCAGCUUAACUGUAGACUUGCCGUUGAUACUGUUAGUCUUGAGUGUGGUCAAGGCAGGCGGAAUGUGUAAUGUAGCGGUGAAAUGCUUAGAUAUUACACAGAACACCGAUUGCGAAGGCAGCUUGCUGGGUCAUUACUGACGCUGAUGCACGAAAGCGUGGGGAUCAAACAGG